GAUGAACGCUGGCGGCGUGCCUAAUACAUGCAAGUCGAGCGAACAGACGAGGAGCUUGCUCCUCUGACGUUAGCGGCGGACGGGUGAGUAACACGUGGAUAACCUACCUAUAAGACUGGGAUAACUUCGGGAAACCGGAGCUAAUACCGGAUAAUAUAUUGAACCGCAUGGUUCAAUAGUGAAAGACGGUUUUGCUGUCACUUAUAGAUGGAUCCGCGCCGCAUUAGCUAGUUGGUAAGGUAACGGCUUACCAAGGCAACGAUGCGUAGCCGACCUGAGAGGGUGAUCGGCAACACUGGAACUGAGACACGGUCAAGACUCCAACGGGAGGCAGCAGUAGGGAACCUUCCGAAAUGGGCGAAAGCUGGACGAAGCAACGCCGCGGGAGUGAUGAAGGUCUUCGGAUCGUAAAACUCUGUUAUUAGGGAAGAACAAAUGUGUAAGUAACUAUGCACGUCUUGACGGUACCUAAUCAGAAAGCCACGGCUAACUACGUG
rnacentral:rRNA from 1 species